GCGCAGAGACCAGUGCAGGCACCGUUUCCCGUCCGAUCAACUGUAGUUAAGCUGGUAAGAGACGGACUGAGUACUCUAGUGGGAGACCAUAGGGGAAAUUCCGUUGCUGCAAUCU
rnacentral:rRNA from 1 species